UUCAAAAACAGUGGACAGCCAAGCCCUGAUGGACUUGAGAGUACCUACCUUUAUGUACAUACUUAUAUAUUCAAAACAAAUGCAUGGAAUGGAAACUACAAGAAAGGACUUGGAUUUGCCUGCUCCUUCUGCCUCCUAUUGUCAUGCUUCUGAGGUAAAUAGCAUCUCUGGAGUCCAGCCAGGACCUUGGAUUUUGCUCAUGCUAGAAAUGCCCAGGGUGGUGCUUGGUCCACAGAAGGUGGAUUUGUUCAAGCUGUACUUCUGAAGACACAUGUGGGAUAAUUAACAAGGUAUAUUUCUUUUAAAAAGCACUGUUGAUUUUACAACACUAAGAUAUUAUUUAAAAUAGAUUAUGACUCAUAUGUAUCCCAUAAACAUGUAAAAUAUCAUGUAUCAAUAAAAAUAGAUUUCACUUAGAACUGUAGUUGCUGAAAAAAAAAUGAACUUUGAACUCUCCUGUUGAAAAUACAAAGCCCCUCCCAAAUGAACAGAGGUUAUAUGGAGAUCUGGAAGUAUUGCUGUGUUGCUGGUCUUCAAAACUAAGAUCUGUAAAUAUAACACACAUUAUAACUAAUUUUAAAGGUGUGUCUCAGAAAGUUUCCUACUGCCCUGAUUUUUACAGAUGAAUUGAGAUCUGGAAUCCUAAAAUCAUUCUAAGGCAAUCUACUGACCUCUUAGGUGUUAUAUGCCUAGGAACCCACUGCAGUAAAUUACAGGAAAGUGAGGCUCAGGUGGGUGAAAUUCUUGAUACGUUAGGACACAAGCUGGUGAGAGCUGAAGACAGAAUUAGAGGCUUAUCUUAUCGUAAGGCCAUUGAGCUGUGCAGCACUGCUCUGGGGUUAAAUUACAAAGAAUAUUAAUGAAAGACACUCAUGAACCUGGGGAUCAGGAUUAGAGAAUGCAUUAGCUUCAGCCAUGUUACUAAUCAUACACACCACAGAGCCCGAGGACCAGCCAUUCAUAAAUGUGGUGACAGACUACAAAAAUGUUCCUUCCUUCCUUCCUUCUUUCUUUUCUUCCUUCCUUCUUUUUCUUUUCUUCCUUCCUUCUGUCUUUUCUUCCUUCCUUCUUUUUCUUUUCUUCCUUCCUUCUUUUUCUUUUCUUCCUUCCUUCUUUUUCUUUUUUUUUUUUCUGGAGUAACCAGUGUGACAUAAGAUCUGUUUGUGUUCCCCCAUUUUACAAAAGAAAAUUUAAGUCUGCAACUUCCCCUAGGCAUCUGCAGCAGAGAGUGGAUUUGUCAACAUGCAAAGCUGCUGAUCUGCCCCUGCAUGCUGCUCCCUGCCCUAAGUGUGAGGAGGAUGAACUGCCCUCUUUUCACCUGCACCUCCCUGGAUGGAACAGAGCAUCUCCAUAAUACUUUAUGCAGAAGUAUCACUUCUAUUUAACACCAGAAACCCCAGGCACCAACUUUAAAUUUUAAAUAAAGGAAAAUGUGGACCA